CCGGCCUGGGAGCCAGGAGGGCGAGGCGCCUGCACCUUCGGGGCCAGAUUGGAGUUCGAAGAGUGGCGGGGACCCCAGAAGCUCGGGGCCGGGGCGAUGGCUGCAGCCUCGGGAGGGUAUCUGCCAGAUCGAACCCCGGGAAAGGGAAGCAAAGGCAUGGAACCUCCGCACACUGGAUGAGAAUCCAUCUUCCACUGGAGCUGGGAAUAGACUUUGUAAAAGAUAUUAUGUAAUGGAGUCUCGGGAACCCUGAGACCUCUCCAGCGAAGCUGAAGUGAAUUAAUUAAGUGCUUUAAACGGUCUUGGUGCUGUGUUACGGGAGGGAGUGACUGGAAAGUAACAAAGCUGAAUCUUUCUCCCUGGAGUAAGGCCGAAGAUUGGAUUACUACACGCCUUGACGUGACACUAUACCCGUAGAUCUCAUGCACCAUGAAUGCCAUAUGACAUUGCCGUUUUCUUUCUCAGUUCAUGGACAAAAGUGGUGGGUGUUCAUUGUCUUCAUUGUCAAUGCAUUAAUAAAGAAGAUGUGUGG